rnacentral:rRNA from 1 species
UACGGAGGGGACUAGCGUUGUUCGGAAUUACUGGGCGUAAAGCGCACGUAGGCGGAUUUGUAAGUCAGGGGUGAAAUCCCGGGGCUCAACCUCGGAACUGCCUUUGAUACUGCAAAUCUCGAGUCCGGAAGAGGUGAGUGGAAUUCCUAGUGUAGAGGUGAAAUUCGUAGAUAUUGGGAAGAACACCGGUGGCGAAGGCGGCUCACUGGCUCGUAUCUGACGCUCAGGCGCGAUAGCGUGGGGAUCAAACAGG